GAGAAGGCGCUGUCUCUGAGGAAGGAGCCUUCACCUGGCCAGACAACACGUCUUCUGGUGCCUUGAUCUUGGACUUCCCAGCCUGUAGAACUUUCCACUCUCUGCUGAGAGCCACUCUCAUCACUCAAUAAAAUUUCCACAUUCAUCAUCCUUCAAUUUGUUCAUGUGACCGCAUUCUUCUUGGAACUGGACAAGAAUUCAAGACCUACCAAAUGUGGGUACCAAAAAG
rnacentral:lncRNA from 1 species